CCUACGGGAGGCAGCAGUGAGGAAUAUUGGUCAAUGGGCGGAAGCCUGAACCAGCCAAGUAGCGUGCGGGAUGAAGGCCCUACGGGUCGUAAACCGCUUUUGCACGGGGAUAACACCCUCCAAUUGUGGAGUUCUGCAGGUACCGUGCGAAUAAGGGCCGGCUAAUUCCGGGCCAGCAGCCGCGGUAAUACGGAAGGCCCGAGCGUUAUCCGGAUUCAUUGGGCUUAAAGGGAGCGUAGGCGGGCGUUCAAGUCAGCUGUAAAAUCGCGCGGCGCAACCGCGCCCCGCAGUUGAAACUGGACGCCUUGAGUGCACAACAGGCAGGAGGAAUUCGUGGUGGAGCGGUGCAAUGCAUAGAUAUCACGAGGAACCCCGAUUGCGAAGGCAGCCUGCCGGGGUGCGACUGACGCUGAGGCUCGAAGGUGCGGGUAUCAAACAGGAUUAGAUACCCUGGUAGUC
rnacentral:rRNA from 1 species